UCAAGAAACUUCCACAAUGGGCGCAAGCCUGAUGGAGCGACGUCGCGUGAUGGACGAAGUGCUUCGGCACGUAAACAUCUUUUAUGUGGGAUGAAAUUAUUGACAGUACCACAUGAAUAAGGGGCUCCUAACUCUGUGCCAGCAGGAGCGGUAAUACAGAGGCCCCAAGCGUUAUCCGGAAUCACUGGGCGUAAAGGGUGUCGAGGCGGUUGUAUUAGUCGUUCGUAAAAUCUACGAGCUUAACUUGUAGGCGGCGAACGAAACGGUACGACUUGAGGUUUGGAGAGGUGCGUGGAACUCACGGUGUAGGGGUGAAAUCCGUUGAUAUCGUGGGGAACACCAAAGGCGAAGGCAGCGCACUGGCCAAAAUCUGACGCUCACACACGAAAGCUAGGGUAGCGAAGAGGAUUAGAUACCCACGUAGUCCCUGAGCGGGCUGGCAAGGCGCAU
rnacentral:rRNA from 1 species